rnacentral:rRNA from 1 species
CAUGCAGUCGAACGAAGUUAGGAAGCUUGCUUCUGAUACUUAGUGGCGGACGGGUGAGUAAUGCUUAGGAAUCUGCCUAGUAGUGGGGGAUAACUUGGGGAAACCCAAGCUAAUACCGCAUACGACCUACGGGUGAAAGGGGGCUUUUAGCUCUCGCUAUUAGAUGAGCCUAAGUCGGAUUAGCUGGUUGGUGGGGUAAAGGCCUACCAAGGCGACGAUCUGUAGCUGGUCUGAGAGGAUGAUCAGCCACACUGGGACUGAGACACGGCCCAGACUCCUACGGGAGGCAGCAGUGGGGAAUAUUGGACAAUGGGCGAAAGCCUGAUCCAGCCAUGCCGCGUGUGUGAAGAAGGCCUUUUGGUUGUAAAGCACUUUAAGUGGGGAGGAAAAGCUUAUGGUUAAUACCCAUAAGCCCUGACGUUACCCACAGAAUAAGCACCGGCUAACUCUGUGCCAGCAGCCGCGGUAAUACAGAGGGUGCAAGCGUUAAUCGGAAUUACUGGGCGUAAAGCGCGCGUAGGUGGUUAUUUAAGUCAGAUGUGAAAGCCCCGGGCUUAACCUGGGAACUGCAUCUGAUACUGGAUAACUAGAGUAGGUGAGAGGGGAGUAGAAUUCCAGGUGUAGCGGUGAAAUGCGUAGAGAUCUGGAGGAAUACCGAUGGCGAAGGCAGCUCCCUGGCAUCAUACUGACACUGAGGUGCGAAAGCGUGGGUAGCAAACAGGAUUAGAUA